rnacentral:snoRNA from 1 species
CUUGUGCCUAAACCCAAGAAUCCCUGAUUCUUGUAGCGCUCAUUUAAACAGAGGUGCAAACAGCAAGCGGACAUUGUCAUUUUUGGGGGGCUGUGGCCGUGCACCUUGAAGUGAAUUUGGAGGUUCUAUACCC